CUGUCAUUUUACAUUAAAAGUGAAUAGUUGACUUAUAAUCAAUUUGAAAUGUUAAAUUAAGUUUAUGAUUCAGUUAUUGUUUUGUAUUUUUAUCUUACUUUUGCGUAUAUUGUAGAAAUACUUGACUUUUGUUUUGUUACUUGGUUGAAAAAACACUUUGUCAACCAAAGACUGGAAGUUUGUUUACAAUAAUGUGGCUCAUUUUUUGUUUUAUUUUUUGUCUUUUAUCUUAUGAAUGAAGUUUUGGGUUAGGAAAACUUUCAUAUUGGUCUUCAGCUUUCUUUGCACUGUAGCUGUGUGCAUGUGUCUUUAUGUAAAUGACCAAAAAGAGCAUGUUGCAUCAUGUAGUCUCUUCGUUCUAAGAAAUGUGUCUUGAACAUGCAAUUUUAACACAACCUGUGCACUUGUUCUCCACCUUAAAACAAAUGUCUAACAAAUCGCUGUUUAAAUAUUUGAAUUAAAGAAAUGCAGGGCUGCACACCCACUGAAAUAAACCAUUAUUGUAACUCUCAGCUUUCAUACACUAACCUCUUGGUGAAUGCAUCAGAUCUCAUCUGAAGAUGGUAUGUAUUUGACAAAUUAGGGCUGCUGUAAUUCUUAUUAAUAUAUUUGGAAUAAACAAAACUUUUUUGUAGACUCUGGUUAUGGUUUCAUUUUUUAAGUGGUUCAUAUACAAAUGUUAUAAAAUUGCCUAACUGUGUCAUUGUAAUCACAGUGUAAAUGUGUUUUUUGAACUUCUGACUAAAAUUAAAAAACAGCAUUUUUAUUCUGUUAUUUUGGGUAGUUCUGUGGCUGAAGUAAGCCCUUUUUAAAAAGGGGGAAAUGUUUUAUCUCCUAGUAAAACUAAAAAUAUUAAUUCUGUCUGUGGGCAAAACCAAUUUGAAAUUAUUGAAGCAAUUUUUUACUGCUAGAACAAUCAUGCUUGAUUCAGUCAGGGAAGGCUUAUGACUUUUGUGCUGCAGAUAAUAAAUAUAGAUUAUGUGUUGCAGAAGAAACAAUGUGAGUCGAUGCGUUCUUUCACGUGCUGUAACAAUAUAAAACAUAACAUUUUCACAAACCAUAACAUUGCAGGCACUUGUAAUUGCAAUGUUGUUUUUGAAACAAACAGAAACAAAAGGCACGUUUUACAACAAUUUUAACUAUUUGAAUUCAUCCAUUCAUUCAUAAACCCCAGACACCAUAAAACACCUUGUUCACAGAUGUCUUUUUCUACAGGCUUCUCUCCAUGUACUUGUUUUUGGGUCUGCUAGGUCUUUUUGUCCUGUGUCACUCUGACUGCUUCUCCCAGGGGUUGGUGAUGAAAGAUUUGACAAACCCUCCAAAAGGGUGUGUGGAUGAAGAUGGGAAGGAGUGUGGAGUUAGGUCUAAAUGGUUGAGAGAGUCAGUGCAUGGAGUGCUCCUGCACCAAGGAGGGUUUGAGCUGCUGCAGCAUGAUGCCUGAUGAAACCACCGUAGAUAUCCCUGAGGAGUGAGGAGCUUGUUGUGGAUAAAGACGCCUGCUCUGCCAAGAUGGUGCAGAAGUCAGACAAAACACAGCCAUGUUAUCCUUUCUGAAAACACAAUACAGACUCUAAUGUUUAAGACACAGCUUCAGUCCAAUAUCUUGAUGCUAUUUCACGAUUGUAUUACAGAGUUAUGCAGUUUACACUCAGCAUAUAGCCAAUAAAACAGCAGUGCCUAUCUUA